GGACUGGCGAGACCUCGGGAGCGCGGGCCGGGGUCUGGGAGCGGCGGUCGGCGGGGAACGGUUUGUGUCGUCGGCGUCCAUCGCGCGAGUCAGCAGUCCCGCGCCCCGGGACUCUGGCCGAGGCUUGUCAGCACGCGCGGCUGAGAGUGUGAACCCCGCUGCCGGCACGGCCCAGCAGGCGCCCCUCAGCGCGCUCGUACCCUGUGCCCACAGUGACCGGAGGGCGGCGGCGUGCACGCGGGGCGCGUUCUUUAGCCUGAAGGCGUGAGGUUCGGACCCGAGCGCACCGUAGACUGGACCUUGAUGCUGAGUGAAAUAUACUAGUCACGAGAGAACGAAUACUGCAGGAUUCCACGCACUUGACAAACCGGGACAGGCUAAUUCUCAGAGACACGAAGUAGCUUAGAGAGGCCAGGUGGGGCAGCCAGAUGGCGAUGCUCUGCCAGGCAGCCCCACGUGGGACGGCUACCUUCAUGGCCAGAGGCCUGCCUUCUGCUCUGGUUCCUCUUCCCAGUCCAGCCAGCUGAGAACUGGGGUGGACUACGGUGAUGGGACUUCGUCGGGAGAUGCCUGCCUUGCCGUCUUGAGUUCUCUGUCCCUUUCGCUCAUGGAAGAAAUAAUAAAAUCGGGGCCAGCAGAUGUGGUUGAGGUGCUGCACUCCCACGUGGCCAAACACCAUUGGGGUCCCAGAUCUGGUGGCUUGCUUUCUCACUUUCUGUUUCUGUCUGCACACAUGUCUCAUGGCAAGAAAAAAUAAAGAAAUAAAAAGACAGACUGUGUCCAGCCCAGACCUGAAGAAUAAGGGAUGCGAAAGGAAAUUCUUCAGGCCAGAGCUGACAAAUGCUGGGGAAUGAGAUCUACGAGGGGAAACUUACCUGCAACUAGAGACAUGGUUUUUACCAUAGGACUGUGUACUUGCCGGAGAGAGACAGAAAGGUGAGAAGUCAC